UUUUCGUCAAUGGGCGCAAGCCUGAACGAGCGAUGCCGCGUGAGUGAAGAAGGCCUUCGGGUCGUAAAGCUCUGUUGCGGGGGAAAAAAGGCAGCAUCAGGAAAUGGGUGCUGACUGAUGGUGCCCCGCCAGAAAGUCACGGCUAACUACGUGCCAGCAGCCGCGGUAAUACGGAGGAUGCGAGCGUUAUCCGGAUUUAUUGGGUUUAAAGGGUGCGUAGGCGGGCUGUUAAGUCAGCGGUCAAAUGUCGGGGCUCAACCCCGGCCUGCCGUUGAAACUGGCGGCCUCGAGUGGGCGAGAAGUAUGCGGAAUGCGUGGUGUAGCGGUGAAAUGCACAGAUAUCACGCAGAACUCCGAUUGCGAAGGCAGCAUACCGGCGCCCUACUGACGCUGAGGCACGAAAGCGUGGGUAUCGAACAGG
rnacentral:rRNA from 1 species